AUGUUCCAGUCCCUUGGCAUCGGUGCAAUAGCGUCGAUGCUUAGGAAAACAAAUGGUGUACAAGAAGGUAGAAGUGAUGACGUUCAAGAAGAUAGUGGAGUUAUCAAUGAUGACCCAGAGUACAAUCCUAAGGAGGAUGAAGUUAUUGAUGGAGAGGAAGUGGAUGAUGUUGUAGUGAACAAGACUAAGACAGCCAGCAAGAAGAAGAAGAGCUCAGAAACAUCUGCUGCAAUACCUCCAGGAACGGUGAUGGCCCCAGCUCCAGGACAAAAAAAGAGGAUCCUGGAACCUGAUGAACCUACCCAUGAUAGAGUCACAAGGCAGAAAGCAAGGAUGGCGACUGCGACGGACCAUCAGGAAAGUCUGCUGCACAUGGACUCUGAGACCUCGGUGGAAAUGGGUGAUGAGUUGUCGCCCAUGGAUGAAGAUGCAAUGACUACCAAGACUAGACUUAGAAAGGGCAAAGGGCUAGAGAGAAUCACCAAGUCGCUUGGUAGCAAGGUGGCUAUCCAAAUUGCCGAAGGGAUGAAGCGUCCAGAGAAGCCUCUGCAGGCAGCAAAGCUUGCUUCUGAGUGUGGACUCGUUGCAAGAAGCCAUCUUCCGGUUCUUCCUCACUUCAAGCUAUACAAAAAAAGCUAG
rnacentral:rRNA from 1 species